rnacentral:rRNA from 1 species
UACGAAGGGUGCAAACGUUGCUCGGAAUUAUUGGGCGUAAAGCGCACGUAGGCGGCUUUGUAAGUCGGAUGUGAAAUCCCUCGGCUUAACCAAGGAAGUGCAUCCGAAACUACAGAGCUUGAGUACUUAAGAGGAUCGCGGAAUUCCCGGUGUAGAGGUGAAAUUCGUAGAUAUCGGGAGGAACACCAGUGGCGAAGGCGGCGUCUGGGAAGAUACUGACGCUGAGGUGCGAAAGCGUGGGGGAGCAAACAGG